AGCAGUCGCCGCGGGAAUACGUAGGGUGCAAGCGUUAAUCGGAAUUACUGGGCGUAAAGCGUGCGCAGGCGGUUCUAUAAGACAGAUGUGAAAUCCACGGGCUCAACCUGGGAACUGCAUUUGUGACUGUAGAGCUGGAGUGCGGCAGAGGGGGAUGGAAUUCCGCGUGUAGCAGUGAAAUGCGUAGAUAUGCGGAGGAACACCGAUGGCGAAGGCAAUCCCCUGGGCCUGCACUGACGCUCAUGCACGAAAGCGUGGGGAGCAAACAGGACUAGAUACCCGCGUAGUCCCUGUCUCUUAUAC
rnacentral:rRNA from 1 species